UGGGGAAUUUUGGGCAAUGGGCGAAAGCCUGACCCAGCAACGCCGCGUGAAGGACGAAAUCCCUCUGGGAUGUAAACUUCAAAAGUUGGGGAAGAAAUGGCGGAGGCCAAUACCCUCCGCAAAUGACGGUACCCAACGUAAGCCCCGGCUAACUACGUGCCAGCAGCCGCGGUAAUACGUAGGGGGCAAGCGUUGUUCGGAAUUACUGGGCGUAAAGGGCGCGUAGGCGGCACGGUAAGUCGGGAGUGAAAGCCCGGGGCUCAACCCCGGAACGUCUUUCGAAACUGCCGAGCUAGAGUGCGGAAGAGGCAACUGGAAUUCCCAGUGUAGCGGUGAAAUGCGUAGAUAUUGGGAAGAACACCUGAGGCGAAGGCGGGUUGCUGGGCCGACACUGACGCUGAGGCGCGAAAGCCAGGGGAGCGAACGGGAUUAGAUACCCCCGUAGUCC
rnacentral:rRNA from 1 species